rnacentral:rRNA from 1 species
UACGGGGGGGGGCAAGCGUUGUUCGGAAUUACUGGGCGUAAAGGGCUCGUAGGUGGCCAACUAAGUCGGACGUGAAAUCCCUCGGCUUAACCGGGGAACUGCGUCCGAUACUGGUUGGCUUGAGUUUGGGAGAGGGAUGCGGAAUUCCAGGUGUAGCGGUGAAAUGCGUAGAUAUCUGGAGGAACACCGGUGGCGAAGGCGGCCACCUGGACGGCAACUGACGCUGAGACGCGAAAGCGUGGGGAGCAAACAGG